rnacentral:rRNA from 1 species
UACGUAGGGUGCGAGCGUUGUCCGGAAUUAUUGGGCGUAAAGAGCUCGUAGGCGGUCUGUCGCGUCGAUCGUGAAAACUUGGGGCUUAACCCUGAGCUUGCGGUCGAUACGGGCAUGACUGGAGUUCGGCAGGGGAGACUGGAAUUCCUGGUGUAGCGGUGAAAUGCGCAGAUAUCGGGAGGAACACCGGUGGCGAAGGCGGUUCUCUGGGCCUUACCUGACGCUGAGGAGCGAAAGCAUGGGGAGCGAACAGG